AAAGGCAUGGCUCAAAUGGUAGAGCACCUACCUUGCAAGUUGAAGUCCCUGAGUUCAAUACUCAGUACUUUUA
rnacentral:tRNA from 1 species